UAGGGCUGGCUGGGACACGGAGGACGCCGCAGUCCUCUGGGAGGCUCGACGCACCAGCCUCGACGUGUUGGAUGCCCAGACACUGAAGGCAACACUCGUGGCCAUUGACAGAGGACAGGUAACAACCGCAACCAAGAGAACACGGACAGAACAGCAUCUUUAAAAAGACAUGAGCCAUCCGUGCUGAGAAACAGCUUUUUUAGUUGAAGCACCCAGGAGAAUCACUGAAUCAACAGGGACACCACUGGUUGUGCCUUCACGCCAACCAGGGCUUCUUUCUUCCAGUCAGAAUAAAAAGGCUUUGUGGAGAAGAAAUCAUUCACCCACUUGGCUCCGAAGCAAAAAUCUGAUGAGUGGAUGCACCUGUCAACUAUUUAUACCUGUAUGCACAGGGAGUGGCUCUGAUACAGAAGCAGAGAGAAAUGCUCUGAAAGAACAUGUCUAUCCUAAACUCCGAGACUUCUGCAGGGAGAACUAUGGCAUUGAAUUCCAGGUAACACAGUUGUCUUUUUUUCUCUCUCUCUCUCUUUCUUUCUUUCCUAACCUUCUGCUUUCUUCUUCUCACUCUUUUGGCUGGGAAGAUAAAGUUUCUUAGGAACUAUUAUGUGAUCUCAACACUGAUAUGCCCAUGCAAGACGAAAGUAUGUGUCUUUUAUAUUUGCCCUCGGGAGCAUGGCCAGAAAUAAUCCCUUUUUCUCUUCCUCUCCUCUAGAGUGAUAUUUACAAUGCAAAUGGUUUGUUGUCUGAGAGAAUGGAGCAGUGGGGAGAUUUUUAUCAUGCAAUUUGAUAAACAAAUGCAGUGCCUAGAAGAGGUACCAUGGCCAUUGGCGCUGACAGUGCGCUGAGAUUUAACGGAGGCUACAAGGGUGUGGGGCUUGACCUGAUUUCAAGAGCAUCCCCUCAAGUAACAGAUCUUUAUGUAACAAGACUAUGCCUUGUUAAACGCAAGCCUGCUCAGUGAUUUUUUAGAUUGUUUUUAGUGUUACUAAAAACAUAAGUGACACUGAUAAUCGUGACAGUCUCUAAUAAAAAAUAUUUUUUAUUUAGUGAUUUUUUAUUU
ensembl:lncRNA